ACUACUACGUGGAGAAAAGAAGUUUAAAGAUGCCCUGAACUGUUCACAGUUGAGAUGGCUAAUCAGUUUCGAGGCUCCAGGGACAUCGGGAAGCUUUACAACGCGGUCUCCCUUUCAUCUCAAACUGGAUGGAGACGCUCAAUUAAAAGCCUAUCAGUUUGUCAUCUCGGAGAGCCAGAAAACCUGGAAUGGAUAUCAACUAGAGUAAUUUAUUU